rnacentral:rRNA from 1 species
GACAGAGGGGGCAAGCGUUGCUCGGAAUUACUGGGCGUAAAGGGCGCGUAGGCGGGAUGGCAAGUCGGUCGUGAAAUCCCUCGGCUCAACUGAGGAUCGUCGAUCGAUACUGCCGUUCUUGAGGAUUGCAGAGGAGACUGGAAUUCCCGGUGUAGCGGUGAAAAUGUGUAGAGAUCGGGAGGAACACCGGUGGCGAAGGCGGCUCUCUGGGACGGUACUGGACGCUGAGACGCGAAAGCGUGGGGGAGCGAACAGG